rnacentral:rRNA from 1 species
UACAACUCUUAGCGGUGGAUCACUCGGCUCGUGCGUCGAUGAAGGACGCAGCUAGCUGCGAGAACUAAUGUGAAUUGCAGGACACAUUGAUCAUUGACACUUCGAACGCACCUUGCGGCCCCGGGGCUACGCCUGUCUGAGGGUCGCUU